ACUCAAGCUACACAGGGCGCACGGUGGAUGCCCUGGCGCCAAGGACCGAUGAAGGACGCUGUCGGCGGCGAAAGGGCCGGGGAGGUGCCUAGCAACCUUCGAUCCGGCCGUCUCCGAAUGGGGUAACCCCCCGCGGGUCAUGCCGCGGGACCCACCGCUGAAUCCAUAGGCGGUGCGGAGGCCAGCCUGGGAACUGAAACAUCUCAGUACCAGGAGGAAGAGAAAUCAACCGAGAUUCCCCCAGUAGUGGCGAGCGAACGGGGAAGAGCCCAAACUGUGCCGGCGUGAUAGCUCGCAGGCGUUGCCGGUGCAGGGUUGCAGGGCGUGGUCGGGCCGGGCUGCGACCCGGCCGGGAAGUGAGCAAUCCGCGCGUUAGCCGAACUGUCCUGGAACGGCAGGCGAGACAGGGUGAAAGCCCCGUAGGCGAAAACGGGCGGACUUCCUCGACCGCGUUCCUCAGUACCACGGGACACUGGGAAUCCCGUGGGAAGCCGGGAGGACCACCUUCCAAGGCUAAACAUCCUUGGCGACCGAUAGCGCACGAGUACCGUGAGGGAAAGGUGAAAAGAACCCCGGAAGGGGAGUGAAAUAGAACCUGAAACCGUGCGUCCACAAUCAGUCGGAGGGCUAUGCACAUCCCGCAAGGGAUGGGAAUGCCCGACGGCGUGCCUAUUGAAGAAUGAGCCGGUGAGUUGUCGCGUGUGGCGAGCUUAAGGCCGCGAAGGCCGGAGGCGUAGGGAAACCGAGUCCGAACAGGGCGACCAGUCGCACGCGGCAGACCCGAAACCGGGUGAGCUACCCAUGGCCAGGGUGAAGCGGAGUUAAUCCUCCGUGGAGGCCCGAACCCGUUGGUGUUGAAAAACCAUGGGAUGAGCUGUGGGUAGGGGUGAAAUGCCAAUCGAACCCGGAGAUCGCUGGUUCUCCCCGAAAGGCAUUUAGGUGCCGCCUCGAUGCUGAGCGGCGCGGUGGUAGAGCACUGGAUGGGCUAGGGCGGGAGGACCCGUACCGAACCCAACCAAACUCCGAAUGCCGUGUCGUGCUCGUCGGGAGUGAGACUGUGGGGGAUAAGCCUCAUAGUCGAGAGGGAAACAACCCUGACCGCCAGCUAAGGUCCCGAAUUGAUGGCUAAGUGGGAAAGGAAGUGGUAUCGCUCAGACAGCCAGGAGGUUGGCUUAGAAGCAGCCAUCCUUGAAAGAGUGCGUAACAGCUCACUGGUCGAGUGGUACUGCGCCGAAAAUCCAACGGGGCUCAAGCCAUCAACCGAAGCUGCGGAUCGUUCGCGGGUGCCGUCCCGCGGGCGGUGGUAGGGGAGCGUUCCGCUGUAGGUGAAGGCAGACCGCAAGGACUGCUGGACGACGCGGAAGUGCGAAUGCCGGCAUGAGUAGCGAAAAGAUGGGUGAGAAUCCCAUCCGCCGUAAGGCCAAGGAUUCUUACGGAAGGUUCGUCCGCGUAAGGUUAGGCGGGACCUAAGGCGAGGCCGACAGGCGUAGCCGAUGGACAGCCGGUCGACAUUCCGGCCCCGCUGCCCAUCCGUCACGAGCCAAGGGGGGACGCAGAAGGGUAGGCCUACCGGGGACUGGUUGUCCCGGGUUAAGCGGGUAGGCGGGGGGUCCUGGCAAAUCCGGAUCCCCAUCCAACGCCGAGACGCGAACACGAGCCCGAGCGCAAGCGACGGCGAAGUGGCCCAGCCCACGCUGACAAGAAAAGCCCCGUGGCCAGGAUGGACGGCGCCCGUACCGGAAACCGACACAGGUGGCCGGGCACGAAACGUGCUCAGGCGCGCGAGAGAACUCUCCUCAAGGAACUCGGCAAAAUCACCCCGUACGUUCGCAAGAAGGGGUGCCUCGGUAGGGUGACCGCGCACAGCGGAAGCCCGAGGAGGUCGCAGUAAAUAGGCUCAGCCGACUGUUUAACAAAAACACAGGUCUCUGCGAAGCCGCAAGGCGAUGUAUAGGGGCUGACGCCUGCCCAGUGCCGGAAGGUUAAAGGGAGGGGUUAGCCCGGGGCGACCCGGGCGACGCCUCGAACUGAAGCCCCGGUGAACGGCGGCUGUAACUAUAACAGUCCUAAGGUAGCGAAGUUCCUUGUCGGGUAAGUUGAUCAACUUGCCCUUCACGGGAGCGAUUCCGUGAAAAGAAUCCGGCUCAUAUCGGUGAAGCCCCGACCUGAACGGGUCAGGGUAAUACCGAGGGAAGCUGCGGUAGACUGUGUACCGUUAGCCCCGUAACGACUUCGGGAGCAAUCCCGGGGUGGCGUCUCCUGGUGGGUGACCACCAAAUUCAUAGGCGCCACAAGACGCCGGUAUCUCGCCUGGGGGGAGCCGACGAUGGAUCUCGGAGCCUACCUCUCCGGAUACGCUGACGGUGAAGGAUGUUUCUGCGUGACGUUCAACCGCAGCAGGCGGCACGCGCUGGGGUGGGACAUCCGCCCAAGCUUCUCCGUCAGCCAGAAUCGCGAGCGUGCGCAGAUCCUUGAGCUGUUCCGGCAGUCGUUCGGGUGCGGAACCGUCAGGCCCGAUCGGUCAGACAGAACACUCAAGUUCGAGGUGCGCAGCGUUCCGGAGUUGGUGAGAUCGGUCAUUCCGCACUUCAGACAACACCCAAUGUUGUCUGCCAAGCAGCGCGACUUUGAAAUCUUCGCUGAAAUCUGCGAGAUGAUGAGUCGCGGGAAGCACCUGACGGCAGCGGGAUUGAAGAAGUUUGCGGGACUGGCCGACGAGAUCAAUCGAAACGGCAAGAAGAAGUACCCCAGGCUGGAGAUAAAGGUAUAGUCUACGCCCUCUGGUAACAGGGGACGCGUGAAGUUCCGACCUGCACGAAAGGCGUAACGAGCUGAGCGCUGUCUCGAGGAGAGACUCGGCGAAGUUGUGCGACCCGUGAAGACACGGGUUACCCGCAGCUGGACGGAAAGACCCCGUGAAGCUUUACUGUAGCCUGUCAUUGAACUUGGUCUUACCUUGCAGAGGAUAGGUGGGAGGCUGCGAAGCCGGGGCUCCGGUCCCGGUGGAGCCGACCUUGGAAUACCACCCUUGGCAAGAUUAAGUCCUAACCGCCGACCUCACCGGUUGGCGAGACAGUGGCAGGUGGGCAGUUUGACUGGGGCGGUCGCCUCCUAAAAGGUAACGGAGGCGCCCAAAGGUUCCCUCAGCACGGUUGGAAACCGUGCGGCGAGUGUAAGGGCAUAAGGGAGCUUGACUGCGAGGCUGACAAGCCAAGCAGGGCGGAAACGCGGGCCUAGUGAUCCUACGGCGGCAAGUGGAAGCGCCGUGGCUUAACGGAUAAAAGCUACUCCGGGGAUAACAGGCUGAUCUCCCCCAAUAGUCCACAUAGACGGGGAGGUUUGGCACCUCGAUGUCGGCUCAUCGCAUCCUGGGGCUGCAGUAGGUCCCAAGGGUUGGGCUGUUCGCCCAUUAAAGCGGUACGUGAGCUGGGUUCAGAACGUCGUGAGACAGUUCGGACAAAGAGCUGUCGGAAAAUCCGGCUAUAUGCUGGGAAGCCUGGUGGAUCCCACGCUACCCAUUGGAGGGCCAUAUGGCCAGAGUGGGUGACAACGCGAUGGGUGCAGGCAAUCAGCAGGGAAGGCCAGAUCACCUCUGCCACUAUGUGGCGGGGUUCGUCGACGGAGAAGGAAGCUUCCACGUGGCGGUGCAGAGAAGUCCGAGCAGCCGCUGGAAGUGGCAGGUGAUUCCGGAGUUCCACGUGUCCCAGAACGACGGCAAUCAGCAUGUGCUGGAGCUGGUGCGAAGCGUUCUGGGUUGUGGAUACAUCAAGCCGAAUCACCGAGGCUCCCGAGAUCGGACCUUCGUGCUAGUGGUAAGAGAUCGCACCGAUCUCGCGAUGAAGGUUGUACCGUUCUUUCGCGAGUUUCAGUUACGCACAACGAAGCGCGCGGAGUUCGAGCGGUUCGCCCACGUCGUCGAGAUGAUGAUGGGAGGUCACCACCUCAGCCCCAAGGGGUUGAGGGAGAUCUUGAAAGUGGCCUUUCAGAUGAAUCAAGCAGGUGCGCGGCGCAGAAUGUCGUUGGACGAUAUCCUCGCCGAUCUGGAACCCUCAGAGACUGUACGCCGGACCCCCACGACCGUGGGGUGAAGAUACAGUCCGAGCUCCCAGGCGACUGGGAGAGGCAGGCAGAAAUGACCUGCCCCCUUCCUUGGUCGGAAGGAGUAACAAGACUGUCGGUCCCUAUCCGCUGCGGGCGCAGGUGGUUUGAGGGGAUUUGCUCCUAGUACGAGAGGACCGGAGUGAACGGACCGCUGGCGUACCGGUUGUCCUGCCAAGGGCACGCGCCGGGUACCUAUGUCCGGACGGGAUAAGCGCUGAAAGCAUCUAAGCGCGAAGCCCACCCCAAGAUGAGACCACCCACCGGGUAACCGGGUAAGCCCCCAGGUUGACGACCUGGUCAAUAGGCCGGAGGUGUAAGCGCCGCAAGGCGUUGAGCUGACCGGUACUAAUCGGGCGAGGGCUUGAUGCC
rnacentral:rRNA from 1 species